rnacentral:lncRNA from 1 species
UUUUAAGCCAUUAGGGUUUAUUCUUGACUCUUGAUUCAUGAUAAGGUACGGUUUAGGAAAUUACAUUUAAAUUACUUUGAAACUCUGAAGCGAUAGAGUAGCCUAAUAGGCUAUAUGUAAAAUUAUUUUAUGCACUUAGGUGAAAAUUGUUUUUCAUUUCUUGAUUAAUAAUUCCUUUUGUAAAACUUACUUGGCAAUAAAUAUCUUUCUGAUUCUGAUUAGGUUUUAAAAUAGAUAUUUAAUUCAUGGUAUGAACAAUUUAGCUGAAUAAAUUGAUGAAGUUAGACUUUUCACUAAUGCCUGGCUACAUCAGUGAACAGUGAAAGACAUCUGCAACAUGGCCAAAAUCUUGGGUAGGUCUAUACUUUAUAAUUUUUAUUAAUUUGCAACCAUGGUAAUAGCCUAUCAUAAACAGGAAAAUCUCUUGUUUUGACCUGAUCAGAAGGAUAAACUAAAAUCUAAAAGCUCCUCUGGUUUCACAGCUGCACUGGCAGAUUUAUGAAAUAUUUAGGAAAUAUUUCGUCUUUCUGCCAUUCCAGGAAAUGUCAUUUUAUGUCUUUCAUUUUUUUCCAACCUCGAUUUUUUUUUUUUUUUUUUUUUUACUUUUUACAUGUAUAAGGGAUUAAUUUGCAAUUGCGACCUGUACAAAUGUUUAAGACAGUAAAACACUUAAAAAAAUGUAAACACAUUAUAAAUGUUAGAAAGUAUAGGUUUUCACCAUUGCUGUGUUCAGGAUUUUUUUUGGGCGGAGUUAAAACGUGGCUCGAUGACGCACUGGAGCCACUGAGCUCCUGGCCCCUCCCCAAACAACAUAACUAGAGCACACAUUCGCGUCAGUUCGCCGUUCAAUCGCGAGUUUCUGUGGACUACCAUCGUUUAAGACACUUGACUGGUUACUCGCCGCAGCAGUUUCUGGAUGAAAGGUGUCGAGCUCGUCAAGUACUAAGCUUUACACCCCCAGCAGCAAAUUUACCCUGGCAGCAUAUGGGUGAAAACUCUGGAGGAGAAAGUCAUCGCUCUGUAAUUGGCCCUUGGACUCCCCUGGCAUCUCGUGUACAGCAUGAAGUUUUCAGCUAUGAAGAUUUCCAGAGACUCCAGAAUGAAAAACAAGCCGUGAACCAAGCUCUGAGGGAGGAGAACCAAGCUCUGAGGGAGGAGAACCAAGCUCUGAGGGAAAGCACUGCACGAGCAGCUUCGGAUGACAGCGGCUCACUUCAAGAGCAGGUGAAGCAAGUUGGGACAAUGUUGAAGACGUUUGCUCGCACUGGGCAAUCAGGUGCAGAUCAGACCUUAAUGCUGCGACGUCUUGGAGAGUUUGGCGAUGUUGUGCGUAGCAUGGACAACAAAAUGGACACUAUGCUGCAACAUUUCAGUGCCAAUGUGUCUGUUGGAGAGUUAUCCCUGCCAGGGGAUCUGUUACUCCCCCUAGACACCCAGGAAGAUUUGGCGUUGCUUGACAACAGUUUGAGGCAGGAUAAAGAGCUCCAGGAACGAUUUGUAAGUGUGCUGAUUUCGUUUAUAACUCCAUAG